CCUACGGGAGGCAGCAGUGGGGAAUAUUGCACAAUGGGGGGAACCCUGAUGCAGCGACGCCGCGUGAGUGAAGAAGUAUUUCGGUAUGUAAAGCUUUUUCAGCAGGGAAGCAGAUGACGUUACUUGACUAAGAAGCCCCGGCUAACUACGUGCCACCAGCCGCGGUAAUACGUAGGGGGCAAGCGUUAUCCGGAGUUACUGGGGGGAAAGGGAGCGUAGACGGCAGGGCAAGUCUGGAGUGAAAGCCCGGGGCCCAACCCCGGGCCUGCUUUGGAAACUGGCAUGCUGGAGUGCUGGAGAGGUAAGCGGAAUUCCUAGUGUAGCGGUGAAAUGCUUAGAUAUUAGGAGGAACACCAGUGGCGAAGGCGGCUUACUGGACAGUAACUGACGUUGAGGCUCGAAAGCGUGGGGAGCAAACAGGAUUAGAUACCCCGGUAGUC
rnacentral:rRNA from 1 species